rnacentral:rRNA from 1 species
UACGGAGGGAGCUAGCGUUGUUCGGAAUUACUGGGCGUAAAGGGUGCGUAGGCGGUUGUUUAAGUCUGUUGUGAAAUCCCCGGGCUCAACCUGGGAAUGGCAAUGGAUACUGGCUGGCUAGAGUGUGUCAGAGGAUGGUGGAAUUCCCGGUGUAGCGGUGAAAUGCGUAGAGAUCGGGAGGAACAUCAGUGGCGAAGGCGGCCAUCUGGGACAACACUGACGCUGAAGCACGAAAGCGUGGGGAGCAAACAGG